GACGAACGCUGGCGGCGUGCUUAACACAUGCAAGUGGAGCGACGAACCAGGGCUUGCCCUGGGGCAGAGCCGCGAACGGGUGAGUAACACGUGGGUAACGUGCCCCGAUGACUGGGACAACCCGGGGAAACCCGGGCUAAUACCGGAUGUGCCCCCUCACAUCAGUGAGGUGUGUAAAGGAAGCUUCGGCCUCCGCAUCGGGAUCGGCCCGCGGCCCAUUAGCUUGUUGGUGAGGUAACGGCUCACCAAGGCUGCGAUGGGUAGCUGGUCUGAGAGGACGAUCAGCCACACUGGGACUGAGACACGGCCCAGACUCCUACGGGAGGCAGCAGUGGGGAAUCUUGCGCAAUGCGCGAAAGCGUGACGCAGCAACGCCGCGUGGGGGAAGACGGCCUUCGGGUUGUAAACCCCUUUCAGUUGGGACGAAGGUCGGGCGGUUAACAGCCGUUCCGGCUGACGGUACCUUCACAAGAAGCCCCGGCUAACUACGU
rnacentral:rRNA from 1 species